UGUAUUACAAGAAACACCUACUUACAAUACCUACACCUAUAUUUUAUCUUUUAUUUAAUUUCUGAUAAUAAAUGGAUGUCAUUCUAGAUUUAUCAAAUAAUCAAUAUUUAUGCCGAAAAGGACAAAUUUAUUAUUUCAUUACAAACAUUUGCAGAUAAAAAAGGUUUCAGCCGCUUUUUCGGAGAAUCAUUGCUAGAUGGCGCAUGCUGUCAUAGAUUAUUCCGUGCAAUCGGUCUGAUGAGAAACUGGAGAAGGAAAGGAAGGACUACGAUUACGUAAUCGACUGAGCAAGAAUCCUUGAGGAUGCCAGACACGGUUUCCGUCGAAACGUCGGAAAAACUAUUCGAACUCUGGGACUACUUCUGAUAAUAAUAUAAAAAUAAAAUAAUUCCUCAACAAUAGGUACCGGCCGCGAAAGCCUAAUAAGCUAUUUGAAACACUUAAGUACCUAACUGGCGAAAGGAUAUUGGUAACAAGCGGUAUUGUUGAAGCAGCAUUAUUUACGGAAUUAAUAAGUACCUAAUUAAAUUAGUCAAUAGCAAUGUUAAGUUCAUUAUAUAAGUAAGAACAAUUCUAAUAAGUAAUAAAGUACCAAAUAAUGACCCCCAAUAGGUGAUAAGGAUUGUAAAAUAUUCCAUAGGUACGUAUCAAUCAACGAUGCAUAACAACGGUAAUAAAAUAUUGAAAUGAUUAACAAUGCAAAACAUUA